GUUUGGGAUAAUUAAGUUUUACUACGGAUGGUGAGCUUAGUCAGGAUUUGAUCCUAUAGUCACUUUCUGAUUUCUUCUCACAGUUUGUCAUAAACUAUUAUAUGAACAAACUAAAUAUUAGCCUGCCUAAACUGCUGAAUAUGCUUAAAACAAUACAAAGCAAUUUCAAGAGUGAAAAGGCUCUAGUACUUCUUGUAGAUAAGAUCUCCAAGAAGAAAGACAAGAAGGGUUCUAAGAAAAAGAUGAAUCUUAAGGCUAG
rnacentral:lncRNA from 1 species